rnacentral:misc_RNA from 1 species
GAUGAGAACGUAGCGAAAUGCGAUAAGUAGUGUGAAUUGCAGAAUUCAGUGAAUCAUCGAAUCUUUGAACGCACAUUGCGCCCCUUGGUAUCCCGGGGGGCAUGCCUGUCCGAGCGUCAUUGCUGCCCUCAAGCACGGCUUGUGUGUUGGGCCUCCGUCCUCCUCCCGGGGGACGGGCCCGAAAGGCAGCGGCGGCACCGCGUCCGGUCCUCGAGCGUAUGGGGCUUCGUCACCCGCUCUUGUAGGCCCGGCCGGCGCUUGCCGACACAUCAAUCUUUUUUCCAGGUUGACCUCGGAUCAGGUAGGGAUACCCGCUGAACUUAAGCAUAUCAAUAAGCGGAGGA